ensembl:lncRNA HRG-AS1 HRG and FETUB antisense RNA 1
CUCCAUCUGCCUGCCUGUCUCAGCUGGAAAUCUCCAUCAUCAGUCAGUGGACUGAUGGAUCAUGGCACUAAAACUCCUCAGUAGAAGGCAGCUGCAUUAUCUAAGCGGGGGAACAUGUUAAACAGCUUGAUGCAGAUGAGCAGGUAACCAUGGAAGUCGUGAGCUGAGGCUGCAGAGUCUAGAGCCAGAGUGUGGAAUAAACUUGGGUCUCAAAUCACCCCUGGAGCAAAGCACCCAUCUAAUCAGGAACUUCUACUUUCAACUUUACAUGCGUGAGAAAUGAACUUCUAUCAUGUUAGAGAAAUCCUUACACGGCGCCCUUGAGAGCUUUCAUACUGCAAGUCAUCCAUUUUCCUCCCCUCAAACCUGGCAUCGGAGUUUAUUGAAACAAAGCAAAAUAAAACAAAUA